UACAGAGGUCCCAAGCGUUGUUCGGAUUCACUGGGCGUAAAGGGUGCGUAGGUGGUUGGGGAAGUCUGAUGUGAAAUCUCCGAGCUUAACUCGGAAAUGGCAUUGGAUACUAUUCGGCUAGAGGGUUUGAGGGGGGACUGGAAUACUUGGUGUAGCAGUGAAAUGCGUAGAUAUCAAGUGGAACACCAGUGGCGAAGGCGAGUCCCUGGAAAACUCCUGACACUGAGGCACGAAAGCUAGGGGAGCAAACAGG
rnacentral:rRNA from 1 species